AUACGUAGGGAGCGAGCGUUGUCCGGAAUUACUGGGUGUAAAGGGAGCGUAGGCGGGAUGGCAAGUCAGAUGUGAAAACUAUGGGCUCAACCCAUAGACUGCAUUUGAAACUGUUGUUCUUGAGUGAAGUAGAGGUAAGCGGAAUUCCUGGUGUAGCGGUGAAAUGCGUAGAUAUCAGGAGGAACAUCGGUGGCGAAGGCGGCUUACUGGGCUUUUACUGACGCUGAGGCUCGAAAGCGUGGGGAGCAAACAGGAUUAGAUACCCUGGUAGUCCACGCUGUAAACGAUGAAUACUAGGUGUGGGGGGACUGACCCCCUCCGUGCCGCAGUUAACACAAUAAGUAUUCCACCUGGGGAGUACGAUCGCAAGAUUGAAACUCAAAGGAAUUGACGGGG
rnacentral:rRNA from 1 species